GCGUCGGUAGUGCAACGGUUCGAGCACGCUACCCCGUACGAGGUGAAAUGUGGGUUCGAGUCCCAACUGACGCA